UACGUAGGGGGCUGGCGUUGUUCGGAAUUACUGGGCGUAAAGGGCGCGUAGGCGGCGUGUCAAGUCAGGCGUGAAAGCCCCGGGCUCAACCUGGGAACCGCGCUUGAGACUGGCAUGCUCGAGUUCGGGAGAGGAUGGUGGAAUUCCCAGUGUAGAGGUGAAAUUCGUAGAUAUUGGGAAGAACACCGAUGGCGAAGGCAGCCAUCUGGACCGACACUGACGCUGAGGCGCGAAAGCGUGGGGAGCAAACAGG
rnacentral:rRNA from 1 species